UACAGAGGGUGCAAGCGUUGUUCGGAAUUAUCGGGCGUAAAGCGCGUGUAGGCGGCCUUGCAAGUCGGGUGUGAAAGCCCUCAGCUCAACUGAGGAAGCGCGCCCGAAACUGCAGAGCUUGAGUACCGGAGAGGAUGGCGGAAUUCCCCAAGUAGAGGUGAAAUUCGUAGAUAUGGGGAGGAACACCGGUGGCGAAGGCGGCCAUCUGGACGGAUACUGACGCUGAGACGCGAAAGCGUGGGGAGCGAACAGG
rnacentral:rRNA from 1 species